CUGUGGCGGGCCCGGGGCAGCGCUCCCGCAGUCUCCUUAGCGGCCGCGCCCCUUCUCCAGCGCGUUACCUUGAAUUAACUCCCGAAACACACAAAGUACGUUUAGAGAGGAGGCGUUGUUUUAUUCUGCGCAGGAUGCGAGGUGGAAGAUUUCCACAAGUCGAGCACACCUCCUAGGAUUCUUUACCAGAUAUUUAUACACAAAAGGUACAACUCUCCACCUCUCUAAUACAAUUAUUCCGCCUAUCUAAUACAUAUUCAUCGUGCUGAGCUCCCCAAGCCCGCGGCGCCUGCGUGGGAAUUGUGCUGAGCAAGCAAGGUCUGCUGCGCCUGCGCGGGGGUCUUGGGGGGCCUUUGGUGGUCCUUUGGGGGCGAAUAGCCCAGCUCGUUUGUCCUUUCGUGGUUGCGUGUCGUCUGAGGGCACCAGAGCUCUUGCUUACCGUGCCGACUUGUUGCUGAGAAGGUGGAUGUCCUUGGCCGAGCCAGUCUGUAACCCUGAGAGGUUCCUCACCUGUAACACCGGCAGCUUUUCGCUCACUGCCCAGACUUCUGAUAUCUUAGGUAUGCUUUACAUAUAACCUGAACGGUCCUUGGAUACCACGUGUGCCACAUUUCUGCAGAGAUCUGUCCCUAAGUUCUCUUGAGCUGUUAGUUUGUUUUACCUAAAUAUUUAAAAUAUAACCAAAUGUAUGUCUAUGAGGUAGGUUUCCCCCUUUGGAAGUUUCAAAUACUUCAUUCUCCCUUCCAUUCAGAACACCAAGAAGUUGAAUUAAUAUAUUUCCAUUUACCUUCCACAGAGUUUUUCCAACUUGUUUUUGUACUUGGCUGGGGGCAUUCAACCUUUUUUGUCUCAGUUGUCAUCACUGUCCCAUAUGUCUCUGUCUCUCCAUCACAGGCCACAAGAGUCUUCAUAAUACCUGAUACAUUUCUGUCUCGUAAGUGUAACACAUUUCCCCAGUUUUAUUAGUCUGAUCUGGUACAUAAGUUAUAUUUUGUGUCAAAUAGCAAGUGCUAUCUUCAGCUAGGGCCUUUCUGAGAGCGACUAUUAGAGUGUCCCUUAAUGGGAAAAUUCCCCAUUCUAGAGGAUUUUUACUAGAUUUUGGCAAUGGAAGGCAUGUGGUUAUACUCGUCACACUCUGUAAUCAUCUGAAUCCUUGCUAUAGGUUGGUGGUCCUUUCAAAUCUAUUCUUUUCAGGCCACGUUCCCAAGAUGUGUUCUUCUACCGCCCUUAUUGCUGCCAGAUUUGCCCAUCGACUCCCAAUUGCUUCAGGAGCAUGCCCAAAUUGAUGGGCUUUACAGUGCAUUAUUGCCACUUGUUUAGGCAAACUUAUGACCUGUAAUAAUUUUCUUAUUAGUUCUCCAUAUUUAACUGGUGUUCCUUCUGACAAAAGGAGACCCCUUUCCUUCCAAAUUGCUCCAUGUGCAUGGACUACUCUGAAAGCGUUUAGAAUCUGUCCAUAUAUUCACAGUCUUCCCUUCUGCUACUUGCAAGGCUCUUAUUAGCACAAUCAACUCCACCUUUUGAGCAGAAGUGUUAGCAGGAGGGGCUUUUGCUUCCAACUCAUCUUCUCCAGAAAUAACUGCGUUUUCUGCCCUUCAAAUUCCAUCAGUCACGUGGCUGCUCCUGUCUGUAAACAAAUUCAAGUCAGCCGAAUCCGUAGGUAUAUUUUUCAGAUCAAUCCUACUUGAAUAUAGCUGUUCAAUUGUUCUCUAACAAUCAUAUUCCGAUUUACUUUCCCCAGACAACAGUAGUAGAGUGGCUGGAUUCAAAGUGAGUGUCAUUCUCAGUUUCCACAUCAUGGAAUGAUGUGAACAACCAAUGUUGUCCCCCUUUUUGUUUCAAAACUGUUGUCACCACAUGACACCUGCACUGUUAUUUUCUGUCCCAAAGUAAAUUUUCUAGCUUCCUGUAUGAAUAGCAUGGUCACAGCAACGGCACUUAAACAGGCAGGCCAUCCUUUACUUGAUCUAAUUAUUUGGAAAAAUAUUUUCCAAGAAAAUCUUGGAUCUUUUUCCAAGAUCCAGUCCUUUGAACUAAAACUCCAAGUGCAAUGUGCUGUCUUUCAUUCACAAAAAUCUCAAAAGGUUUUUCCAAAUUAGGAAAUCCUAAUGCUGAUGCUGACAUCAGGGCUUGUUUUAACUGAUGGAAAGCUGUCUGGCACUCUUUGAGUCCAUUCAAGAAAUUCUGCACUUUUCAUUGCCUCAUAAAGGGGUUUUGCAAUCAGUCCAAAGUUGACAAUCCAAAGGCGACAUCAUCCGGCCGUUCGUAGAAAUGCUCUCCAUUCUCGUUUAGAUAACAUCUGGCAAAUUGCCUCCUUUCUUUAGGGACCAAGGCUCCGUUGGCCUUGGGUAAUGGUGAACCCCAAAUAAAUCACGGCCUUUUGUGCAAUUUGUGCCUUUGAAACUCGUUAUCCUGUGCUCCUAGAAAAUUCAAAAGGUCAAUAGCAUAUCCUAUAGAAUCCUCUAGUGUUUGUGUUCCCAGAAGGAGAUCAUCCACAUACUGCAAUAAAGUUAUUUCUGUAUCCUCCUUUUUCCACCCUUCUAAUUCUCUGGCGAGUCCAUUUCCAGAGAUUGUUGGGCUAUUCUUAAAUCUCUGUGGAAGAAUGGUCCAGCAUAGCUGGGUCUUUCAACCAGUUUUUGGAUUCUCUCACUCAAAGGCAAGUAUCUUUUUACUUCCCAGCUCCACAGGGAUGCAAAAGAAGGCACCUUUUUAAAUCUAAUACAGUAAACCAUCCAUCAAUCUCUUUAAUUGUUGUCAGUAAAGUAUAUGGGGUUUGCCACAGCUGGGUGGACAUCUGGCACAAUUUGAUUUACUGCCUUCAAGUCUUGGACCAAUCUAUAUUCAUUCAAAUCAGGUUUCUUUACCAGCAAAAUUGGGGUGUUAUACUCUGAUUGGCAUUCUCAUGGUAGUCCACGAGUCAUGAAAUUUUCUCUUAAAGGCUCUAAACCCCUUCUUACUUCUAGCUUAAUAGAAUAUUGCUUUUGUUUUACCAGUUGUGCUCCAGGUUUUAAUGGGAUGAUUACCAGUUCAGCUAUGUCAGAGUGUCCUGGGAUCCUGGAGGACCAUACCAGAGGGUUUACUGCAUUCAGUAGCUCUUCCAGGAUCAUUUCAGGUUCUGGAGUUUCUUGUUUCCUGUAACAUAAACACUUGUGCUUCCAGGCCUUUCUCUUCUGGUGUUUGAACCUGUAUAUUCCUUUUUCAAAAACAGUUCAUGCACUUAGUUUACUGAGUAAAUCUCUUUCCAACAAAGGCAUCAGGCAGUCAGGAAUGUAUAGAAAUUUAUGAGUAAAGACUUUGCUUCCAAUUCUACACUUAUUUGGUUGGAAGAAUGGCCUCACCUCCUUUUUCCUCUAUGGCUUAAAUAAUACAUAGAUUUUGUCUGCUCAAUUUACCUUUACAGGUUGUUAAUACUGAACAAGCUGCCCCUGUAUCUAUUAAAAAAUCUAUUUUCUCCUCCCCCAACUUUAAGGUAACCAGGGGUUCUGUUGGGGAAACUUUUGAUUCAUCCCCCAGUCCUGUCAAUCUGAAUCUUGAUCCAGGGUAAGCAAUUCUGCCACCUCAGGAUUCUCCUGUGUCCUUACAAAAUUUAUUGGAAAUUGAUUUUGAGGGCAUUCCCCCUUCCAAUGCCCUUUUUGUUUACAAAAAGCAUGCUGGUCUCUAUCCAAAGGUAGGCUAACCCCAGCUCUGAAGGGGGUCCCGUUAUUUUUUCCCAUAGGAGGGUGACUUGGCCUGCCUCCUUCAUUUUGUCUUCUCCUAUUUUGAUUGCCUUCUGCUAUUGCUGCAGCCAAUACUUGAGAUUUUCUGUUUUCCUUCUUAACCUGAUCUUUCUCCUGUCAUUUCUUCUCUUCUUCUCUACUGUUGUACACUUUCCAUGUUACCUCUAAUAACUUAUUGACAGAUCCUGCAUCUGCUCCCUCUGUCUUUUGCCAUUUCCUCCUAAUGUCAGGAUUCAACUGUCCCACAAACAGAGUCACAAAUGUCAGUGCAUCAGUUUCCCUCUCUGGAUCCAAAUCUGUCCAUUUCCUAGCCACUUUGCAUAAUCACUCAAGGAAAGCUGAUGCAGUUUCAUCUUGUACCACCUGAUAUAAUUCUGAAAAAAAAAAAUCAUUUUCAGUAUCACAUUCUUUACACCGAAUAAUAUCAGUCUCUGAUAUUCACUCAGCAAUAAUCUUUGUGCCUGAUUGUUAGGGUCCCAGUUGGGGUUGGUGGUGGGAAAAUCAUCCUCAAGUCUUCCUGCCUAUGCAUCCUGAGCAUGAACCCUUUCUGCUUCUUCCCCUUGAUCACUACCUCCCUGAAUGUUUUCCUGUCUUGGAGACACUAACAGUUCUACAUCAUCUUCCUUCUCUACCAGUUCCUUAUACUUUUCGUAUCUUUUACCAAUAUAUUACAUGCAGAACAACAACAUCUAAGCGGUUUGUCUUGAACUUGUUCUAAAGCCAAAACAUUUUAAUCUUUUGUUAUCAAUCCACAGUCCAUUCUGCUCUUAUAAUUCGUUUACAAUGUAAGAAAGAAAUCCACGUGCUUCAUCUCAUUUUCCUUCCCUUCUACAAAACAACAUCAAUUUGUUAUAGUAUUAUAAUUCAAAUUUCCAUUCGUUGACCACUUCUCUUGGUCUUCCAAUAUGUAUACCGGCCACCAUUUGUUACAAUAUUCUGUGAACUUUUUAUGUGUUAACAGAUCACCUCCAAACAUAUUCCAGUGUUCCAAAAUACAACCCAGUGGGGAAACCUUCAGUAUUCCCCCUCGCUCAGAAGAAGUCAAGUUUUCCAUUUGUAAAUAUUUUCCAAUAUGUCACAACAGUCCUUUAAAAUUGCCAAUAAUGGAACAAAUACAAGUACACCAAGCCAAAACCUAAUUCUGCCUGCUCCAGUAUCACCAUACUAACACAGGAGAAUACUAUCAAGUAGCAGCUGCAAUGACUACCAAUUUGUACCUUCAAUGUGUACGCCUUACUUGGGGAAUAUCAGAAUAACAAAGUCUCUAUCCCAGUUUCAAUCGCUCACUUAUCACCACCAGGGAAUUGCAAGGGGAGUUCCCAGAAAAAUCCUCUGCUGUGCACUGGAGUCCAGCUCGUGAUACCUGCAGCAGUAGCAAGUGUCGAUCAAAGUCCGGUCUCAAAAGCAGAGUCCCAUCUGGGGUGCCAAAAUUGUUACCUUGAAUCCAGAAUGACUCCCGAAACACACAAAGUAUGUUUAGAGAGGAGGCGUUGUUUUAUUCUGCGCAGGAUGCGAGGUGGAAGAUUUCCACAAGUCGAGCACACCUCCUAGGAUUCUUUACCAGAUAUUUAUACACAAAAGGUACAACUCUCCACCUCUCUAAUACAAUUAUUCCGCCUAUCUAAUACAUAUUCAUCGUGCUGAGCUCCCCAAGCCCGCGGCGCCUGCGUGGGAAUUGUGCUGAGCAAGCAAGGUCUGCUGCGCCUGCGCGGGGGUCUUGGGGGGCCUUUGGUGGUCCUUUGGGGGCGAAUAGCCCAGCUCGUUUGUCCUUUCGUGGUUGCGUGUCGUCUGAGGGCACCAGAGCUCUUGCUUACCGUGCCGACUUGUUGCUGAGAAGGUGGAUGUCCUUGGCCGAGCCAGUCUGUAACCCUGAGAGGUUCCUCACCUGUAACACCGGCAGCUUUUCGCUCACUGCCCAGACUUCUGAUAUCUUAGUGCCCACUCAGGACUUUCCACUGUGGGAAUAGGCUGCGUUUUACUACAGCUCCACUGGAAGGCUGGUAAAGGCAAAAGGAGAAGCCGGGUGUACGGUGGAAGUACACCUGCAUAACCAGAGCGGUGGAAGAGCACAGGUUAAGCAGCUGCAGCCAUCAAGGAGAAAGAGAAAUCAUGGGCUACCAGCACUUCCAGAAUCUCAAUGGAGAUGCAUGUUUUAUCAACCAGUAAUUUGGAGAAAAGUUAUGUUCCCAGUGGAAGCCAAACUCCUGAGUUGAAUAGGAUGAGAAGUGGUUGUGGAGUUUGGAAUCUCUUCCAUGGCCAGACUUCCUCAGGAAAAUGGCCUUUCUUCUGAACUGAAAACCUCUGUGCAACGCAGCCCACCCAGACACACAUCAGCAGGUGGAUGCCAGCUCUGCACACCCAUCCAAUCCGACGCAUGCAGAACCAGCACAGGACAUGGAGGACCACAGCAGGUAGCCCCAGUUUCCUGAACUGCUAUUAACAACAUGAUUGUUUCACACAUCCCUCUUAAAGACCUGCCUGAUUAUAGGAUUUGAACUGUGGUUGUCAGAAGUCUUAGCUAAGGGAAGGUUGGUCCACGUGGCUUGGCUGAGUGAUGCUUUGCUUUUGAACAGCUCCUGACUCCAGAGAGAGUGCGUUUCUCAUUUUGCAAAGCACUUAUCUCCUGCUGGCUCAUAGGAAGUUUCUGUAGACUCUCUCUCCACUGAAGGUCAGAUUUCAUGUAUCUUCUGAGAUCCUAGAACCAGGGUUCUGCAGUGCUAGAAAAGCAGAAAGGAGAAGACUAUAUGAGGUUAUCAACAUUGAGCAAAACAGCGUUUAUGGCUCAGACGGCAAUUUCAAUUAUCCAGCACUUAGGCAUCAAGAAGAUUCAGAUAAGAGGUCUCAGAUUUAGCUCCUCUCCUCUCUGCAAGUUAAUGUGCCACUUUUCCUUUUUUUUUUUUUUUUUUUUUUUUAAGCAGACGAUCAAAUCUGUAAUAGCAAAUUGCAAGUUAAAAGGCAAAGAUUGUCUCUGGAGAGAAUGGAAAGAACCAUUUUGGUUCUAGGGGUCAAAUUGCCAAAAGAAGAGGUGUCACCACCAAGCUGAAAGGAGCUGUCUCCCUUCCUUCCCUGGAGUAUUUAUACAGUAUAGUCACAUGCUGGAAGGAGAAAUGCAGAAGAACCUGAAGCUCUUUGAGUGAAAUAGCGCAAAGCACCUACGCAAGGUACCAGUGGUCACCUAUGGAACAUCCCCUUGGAGCCACCACAUGUUGCCAUCACUAGACGGUGACAUCUCCCAAGCUUUGGAGCAGACUUGGUUGCUGAUCCAGAAGAGGGCAAUGGUGACACAUCCCCACUGAUGCUCUGAGCACCAAAUCAGCUGAGGACAGCCACUGUAGGAAUGUAGCCAAAUAGCCAAACCACCUUGGCUAGCAGAUCUGUAUGUUCCUGGCUGUUUUGUGGCAAGCAGAUUGAAGUGGGAGGCAACUUUCAGCUACUGUCUCAGCAACACGUGAGUUUGAGAAGUUACGUGCAGGGGAAGAUGAAUUUUCACUGAGGGAGUGACUUGGAUCCUUUGCAGACCCCAUUGAAGCCAGUAGAUCUGAAGACAGGUGCUCUCCAUCCAUGAGGCCAUGAGCAUGGGUGAGCCUUCCAGUGGCUACAUACCCUCCAGAGUUCUCAUCACCAUCAGUCAAGCUCUUCCCCACAAAACAGUAGCUGCAGAAACUCAAGAAAUACUGCUAAGCGUACUGCUUUUUAAUUUCAGUGCUGCCACAGUCACUGAUGUCCUCACUAAUCCUCUUGCAGCAGCAGGCUGCUAAUCAGAAACUCUUUGCUCGCCACUUUGGCAUCAUUCUGGGAAGCCAAUGGAGCGCAGAGAUGCUCAAUUCCUCCCCCUCCACACACCUUCCAUUGUCUUCAGGACUGACAGCUCUGAUGUGGAGCAGUGAUAAAAGCCAGCUGAUGCUGUCAAGGCCUGGUACAAUUGCACCGCAGGGAAAAAGGCGACUGGCUCUGACUCAUCCUAGCCGCCUGGAGCUCAAGAUACCUUGCACACGUGCUGUCUCCUGGCACUGGCAAGGCUCAUCACAGAGCAAUGCACCUUCGAGCCCUCCUAGGAGCUGAAGCAUUCCUGCAACCCAGCGUCUCUGAUCUGCCUCCCACAGCGAUGCAGGAGAAAGACCAGGGAGUGGGACAGGACCUGUUGCGAGGACCUUGAGCUGAAAAGGUCUGAUUUACAGGUGAGAGGAAGGAAGACAAUUUCAUGUGUUUGUGGCUCAUGCGGGGAGCAGUUCGUGAGCUCUGGGGAGCUCCUCUCUGGCCUGGAGAGCAGGGAGCGAGCGCACAGCUCAUGUCGGUGCUGCCAGGGCAGCGGGACUGUCCCCGCCAAAGAGGCAGAGAGCUGAGCUCUUUGUUCAUCCCUGCCCUGCUACGAAGCAAGAGAAAAAUACUCCUGCUGAGCACAGCCAGAAAUAACCCAGGCCGCCAGCAGCCAAAAAGCUUCCAAGGGGGAAUAUUAAAGUGCUGGGAAUUUGGCCUCUCAGCCUGUGCUUUGGGCUCCUCUGCUGUUGUAAUGUCCCAGGCAGGAGAAGGCAGACCCUGAACGCAGUCCUGCUCCUGAUGGCCAGGAACCAGCACCUCAACAGGGAACAGUUCACUCCCGGGUCACCCCAAGACCCACCCAGCUCCUGUUUUCAUCCCAGUCUUCUCCAGCACCAUCAUCGUCACAGCUCCUUCACCAGACACUGGUGAUGGACAGCACUUCCCCUGUGAGAUGUGCUUCAGGGGUUGUGAUGCCCCAGCACCCCUCGGGAUCCUCCGCUUUGCUGCAUCGCUGGCUUGGAUGCCCCUGAGAUGAGGCCACCUUGCAGGGCCAGAGCUUGGGUGUCUGUAAGGGGAACUUAAUGAGGAUGAAUGAGCUUGAGUGGUCCCAUUGCCCAUGGGAGGGAGGAUUUGGGGGCAGUUGAAAACAGGCCUUCUCUGUCUCUGGAAAGGAUGGCAGAUUCCUGCACUAUCCAGAUGGGAUUUGAGUUGCACCGUGAAGAAAAUGAUCUCCCUGUGGCACAUGUCAGAGGCUGCAGGGAAGAUAAAUGUUGCUUCGUUUCUCUGGUGCUGCUGUGUGUUCACCCACAGGGAUCUCCUGGCCAGCUUCUCUGUAUGUCAGCAUCUUAUCACCACCCCAGAGCAAGGGCAUUGCGUAGCAGAUGCUCCAUGGAGGAGGAGACACCUUGUGAUGCAGCAACAGCUCUGCUGCAGCUCCUGGGGUGGCUCAAGGCUGCUCCAUCCCUUUGCUCACGGAUGUAGCCCAGCACACUGCUCGGCGUCCAGCAACCCACGGGCAGGCUGCAGCCUUUGGAAACUUCCCGUGCCCCUGCACAUCCCAAAUGGCCCCUCUGGUGCAGGACACCAAGAUGGAAUGAACCGAGUGGUCUGGGCACAUGCAGGAGGUCACUGAAGACACACUGGCUUUGCAAAACAGAUCCCGUGUUGGAUACAGGAUCAUCUAUUUAUUUUAAGUUUUAUAUGGGGCAUUUUCCCUUGCCAGGAGCUGGAGAAUAGAGGACCCGGGUACCAUCUGCCCAGGGGACUGGUGAAUCAUCCUAUUUUCCAGUUAACAGCACUUGUUUGCUUUGGGAGAUCUCCAAGUUAAGGGGGAAGAAAAAGAAAACCCAACCCAUGGAUCUUUUCCCACACAAUAAGAAAAAUGCUUUUUCUUUUCUUUUUUUUUUUUCUUUUUUUUUUUUUUUUUACAAAAGCCAGUGUCAACUCUGCUUUUACUUAGCAGUGGGCUGGAUAAAAAUAGACAGUGAAGUCAUGACGCCUUCAGAAGAAGAACCAGGUAUGGCCUGGGGAGAGGGGGUGAGUGAAGUCAGGCUUGGAGGAGAGGGACAACAUGCCAGCACGAUGGAGGCAGGCAGAGUUUUUGUCCCAGGACUGUGCUGGGACAAGGAGAGCUGCUUACCCUGGUGCCUUGUGAUUUCCCUGGCACGCUGCUGGGAGGCAGGAGGCUUUUUGGUGGAUGCACCAGAGUUUGGGCUGUUGCUCAUGUGAUGCAGAUGGGGCUGUGGCCCAGCAAACACCAGGAGCUCUUUGCAAAGCCGAGAGCUUGGGGCAGGCUGGAAAGCAAUGGCAGCAGCAGGGAAGGGAAGCCAAGGGGUUGUGCUCUUGCUUUCUCCAGGACCAUAUUGCUGCAGCCUUCUCUCUUAGGUUCCUGCUCAGAUCUGGCUUUUUUUCCUGUUUUAUCCCCGUGCCAGGCUGUGAGCACGCUGGGCUGUUUGGAUGGACUGUGCAUGUGAGGGACUGAUGUCUCCUGCUCAGAGCAGGGGCCCUGGAAGCCACUUGGCAACCUGGAGCAUGAGGAGGUGCGGCUGAUGCCCACAUCUCCAUUCUGCUGGUAGGAGGCUCCUGCAGCAAAGCCUUCAUGGGGCUUUUUGUGUAGGGUUGGGGCAUGUCCUGCGUUCAGCCAGGCUGCUGGUGAAGAUCCUCUGGAGCAGAGUCUUUGCAGUAUUUCUGCAUCACAGGAGAAAUCAAGGAUCUGAGGGCAACUUUACAGCCCCUCAAGGCAAUGUGAAAGCCGAGCAGGUACUGGUGUAUCCCCCCCUGCAGGGCUGGCUUGUGUCAGAUGUGUCAUGGGUGAGAUGACCCUAAAUUGCUGGUCCUCCCCCAGCCCUCAUUGCAAUGGGACUCUGUGGUGUCCCCUCGGUCACCACACAGCUCUGGCUCUGUCCUGCCAAAGCCACAGCUACUGCGACUUCGUACCCUUGUGACCAAACACCGACUUAGGUCACAACUGAAAUGAGUUUGGAGGGCCUCAGCAUGCUUUUCCAUGGGUAUUUCUUUACAUGGUUGGAAACACCUUGGUAACUGCAAGGAGGUGCCAAUUUUGUGUAGUAAAAGGAUGCUGCACAGCAGGGGUGAUGUGCCCUGCCAGAACGGGGCGGGGGGGGACAGAGCUUCAGACUUUCAGCAUAUGAGGUGAGAGAUUUUUUGCCCUUCCACUUAAGCAAAUAAAAACUUCCAAGGAAAAAAUAUUGCCUGUGGAAACUUUAGCCUCGCCCACAAGGAAGGAACCUUUUAUCAACAAGAAGAUUCACAUGGUGGGGAAAAACCAUGUCCUUUUCUGCUCAGCACCAAAUGCUUCUACCCGCUCCCGGACGCUGAGCCACAGUUUCUCUGCAGCAGGAGACUGGAGAGGUUCGAGGGGAAUAUCUGCAUUUCUCCCCGAUCAGUCACUGGAACAAGCAUUAUCACUGGAACAACGGGCUCAGCCUGGCCCGCCUUGCCAGAGCGGCUCCGCUGCAGCACUCCCGGAUUUAUUUUUGUCCGGGCUUGGAGCGGGUUGCGGAGAUCAGGUGAUGGUGCCCGAGGAGCACUUGGCAUGGCCUGUCCUGCCGCUGUGUGUGCACGUCUGUGGGAGUAACGAGCAGACAGGGAUGAUGGAGCGGGGCUCGGCAGGCGGAGUGGCUGUGUUUGUGUUGCUGGAUCCUCUGCUCUUGGCUCAGCCCACGCUGGUGACCAGCUCCCAGGAGAAGGGAUGCUCUCUCACAGUGCGGGGACCACUGGUGCUCCCAUUUGACCUGGCUUAUAGCUUUGCAGUGCAGUCUGGGGAAUCAAAACCAGCGACUGUGCUUUGGCACUGGUAUUAGGACCUGGAAAUUAGUUUCUGAUGGAAUCGAGCCAUGCGCUUUAAGGGAGGUGACCAAGGAAACACACAAAAGACUGUGGCAGAGUCCUUUCCCAAGGACCAGUGCUAUGUCUCCAGCUCUGAGCUUGCCUCCUUUCUAUAUGGUUUCCAUACUGCUUGAACAGUGGCCGAGAACCCAGUUCAUUCCCAGUGCCCCCAUGGUGUCCCAGAAGAGCAGUCAGCCUGGCUGAUAUGGCUGAGGUAACCUUUGAGAUGGCUAGUUUGGCAAGGCAGCCAAAUCUCAGCAGUCUUGGCCACAACAAUAAGUCCUGGGGGUCCCUGGGACACAUCAAAUCUGAGCUUCUCAGUGGCUCCAGAAUGUACCACGAUGCAGGGGCCUGGAGCACAAGCUGGGUUUAUGGUCCUGCUUAGGCUGGGGGAUGCUGGGCUUGGGUAUUUCCCCUUUGCUCUCUCUCGGUGCCAUGGGCAUACGGUACAUUCCCAGUGUGCGGUGGUCAGCUGUGCUGUGCAGACCGGGCUAGCAUCCAAGCCAUGCAGAGCUGAACCUCCCAACCUUUGCUAUACAUCAUCCCAUAAUCCAGGUCACACCAGUGCUGGAUUGCGAUGUGUUCAAAGCCUGGAUCAGAGCCGUCUGUAGGGUGAACCAGUCCCAGCCUGGUCAUGGUCCUGACCAGGGAGUUUUGGAGCCUACUUCCCCCUGACCCCCAAAUAUCUUCUUCCAAAAGGACUCAGUGAAGCAGCUCCAGCAAGGAGCCAACCUCAGGCUGCGGCAUCUGCAAUGCUCUAAGUCAAAACAUGCCCCAGCAGUACAGCUUGGGCUUAGGUCUCCAGAAGCGAUGUGAAGAUACCUGCAGGGGUUCAGGGACACAUGCCAGCAUCUAUGGACACAGGGACACCUUGCGCAGAGGAAACCAUCCUGGCUCCAUCCCCAGCCCCUUCUCAGAGGCAACUGUGGCCACUGCUGGCAGGUUCACCCCCUGCUUUCUCCAUCAGCUGGAAACAAUCUGCAUCGCUGGAGGCUUUUAUUUCCCAGGGGGCUGUGAAGAGAGAGCAGCCUGGAGUUAAUCAAAGAUUGGGGUGUGCACAGGAGCAGCCAUGGCUGGAGAAAGCUCACAGGCUUCUGCACUGGAGUGGGGUCAGAGCUGCACCGGGGUCUGGGAAGACGGGGUAUGAGGAGGGCCGGGGGUUUGUUCAGCGAGUGGCACCAUGGGGACAUGAGGAACGAGACCUUAAUUUUUCAGUUGUGGGCAGAGGAGAGGGACCAGGGUGCUGUGCCCACAGUUGGGGGUCCAGGCAGUGCUAAAGGCAUGUGUAGCAUCACUUGAUGUGCAUGAGUGGCCCAGAGCCCUGUCCUGUGACUCGAUGCACGGGUGCAGGCUGACCUCAAAGGGAGCCCAGUGCUUUGUGGCAGAGGCUGGGGCUCACCCUGAGCCCAGGACUAUUCAAGCUGAGGUCUGUGAGCAGCACACUGUGAACGUCACCCUCUGUGGGUCAGGCCAUCCUGCAAAGAAUCCCCUUUUAUAUAAAUCCCAGCACAUGAUGUGAGAGUGGAAGGAGCCUACUCUGCCCCAGCAGGUCAUUUCAGGCUUGGCUGAGCUUCUUUCCUCUUGAGGGGAUGCUUGCCAGCAUCUCGGAAAUGGCACCGGUGGGAUGUGCAGCCCAGGCACAGCACUGUCGGUCAAGGACCUGCUCUAUGCUGCUCAGAGCAGUAAAUCCCUCUUGCAGCAGGAGGAUGAGGAUGGACAGUGUGGGAGCAGCUCCCUCUGCCAGCCCAGCACUGUCCUCACUGAGCAGGAGGCAGCGGUACCCGCUCCCACGUCAGGAACUCAUGACUGAGUUCUCAUGUGCAGCAGGGACACGGUGACAAUCCUGGCCUCGCCUGCUGCUCCCUGUGGUUUCUGUGGCUUGUUGUCAUGUGUACAACAGAUGAUUUAUGUUGAUGCUGGGUCUCCAGGGUACGCUUUAUGGCUUGUGGCAUAUGGAAAUCUAUGGACCCCUCUGGCAACAGUUGCGUUGAGUCUAACACAGCUCCAAGGCACUGACCCUGCUGGUGCCUCCCAGCUGCGAUUCCCUGGAUCACGGUGUUUGGAUAUCUCUGAUGUUGAGAUCCAAGAGCUUGUGUUCAUCCACAGGACUGGAAGCACCCAGUGGAAGGGGUGCAGGCACAAAGUACCAUCCUCUUCUGCACACUCGGCGUAACCCUUACAUCGCUGUGUGGAGGAGGGACACAAACACGCACACAGACGCAAAAUUGUGGAUAUCAGCCCAUCAGUCUUCCUGCAGGGAAGAUUACCAGGCUGCUCUGCUGGGUGAAAUUCUGUGGACAUUUAGCCCACAGGAGCUGGCUGAGUUGCAUGUGAGGUGCAUCCAGGUAGGAAUUGUACCAGGGGUCCGACACACACCCCAGUUGCUAGACGGUCAUGGUCGAGGCAGCGCAUCUUUCUGGGCUAAUUAGGGAAAGUAUCAGAGACCUUGUAGCCUAACAGUGUGAAGCAGCCAAGGCUGACAGGCCAGGGCUUCUCCUCUCACUCUGCUCAUGUUCCACUAAUUGCAGCUCUCCCUAAUUAAAAGUCCAUGAUGUGGCUUUGAUGGCUGCAAGCCAGGUCCCCCAGGUGAGCCCUGGGGCAGAUACUUCACAGCAGGGAGGGAUAGGAUCAUCCCUAGAGCCAGUACUGAGCCACGGUCAGGUGCUGCAGAGGAGCCGAGCAGCCAGGAACAUCCUCAAGAGGAGGAACAAAAUCAGAGGCAGCCUUGCCAGGGACACGGGGCAGCCAGGGGAUACCAUGGUCCCUGCGUUGUUCUGCUGAGCUGGAGUGAAAUGGUCUGUGCCAGCUGCCAAGCCGCUUUCCAGGUGGCAGUGGUGCCUCUGCAAACCACAGGGCUCUGGGAGCUGGGGCUCUGCGGUGGAGGGACCAAACCCCACGCCGGACUCCGCCACUCCCAGGGGAAAAGCAGGGCCAACUCGCUGCCAGGCACUUGAAAUAAGACAAAGUAAAAGCUGGGUGAUCUUUAAAAGCACGGUUUCCUGUUAUCUUGCUGGUUGCUGAUCUAACAGCUCUUUCUCCUUCUUUAUUUCCAUACGAGGACAACUCAGUUUUGGUUCAGGUGUGUCUUCCCAUUGGAUAAUAAUCUCUCCAAGCAAACUCAUCCUGAGCAAAGCCAGGAGGAGCACCCAGAUGCCAGCACGAAUGUCUUAUGAGCUGCGGACUUCCCCCUACCAUCUGAGUGCUGUUAGCAGCCCGCAGCGCUCCUCCUGCCGGCACCGACUGCCUGUUCUUGCCAUCGCCCCCACAGCCAGCAUCACUACGGUGAUGCCGUAUGGAGAGCUCGGCGGAGAAGGUCUUGCUGGCCGGGCCAUGGCCGGUGACCUUCUCCAUCCCUCCUGCAGCAGGGUUCCUCUGCCAUCCAGGAACCUUCAGGGGCGCAGGGACCUGCCUUGCUCCAGGGCUUGCCAGCAGCCUCCGAGGCUCCUUGGGGUUGCCCCCGUACCCGCGUGCUUGGCCUGAUGCAAGGCACAGAAGGGGCUUGGGGAUGAAAUCCAGGUUCAGCCCCCUUGGGUUGGGGCAGGCUCCUCGGGAGGGCAGCUCCAGCCAAAUAAAAGCCAUCCUGGGGGUUCAUGGAUAACUGUGGUGCUGAGGGAUGUGCAGCACCCACCCAGGCAUGGAGCAGGGUCUCAAGUUAUUAAUUACCUGGCCCAACCCCCGCAGUUGCCCCACCUGAGAAAAGCCAUCACACCCAGCACAUCCUUCAUAUUAGAAUCAGUUUUAUUUAGCAAAUCUCCAGAGCAUUAAAAUAAAACUCCCAUAAAACAAG